GUAGACACCGCGCCACCCGCUCCGGGACGCCGCCCAGCGACAAGGCCGCGGGGUCAGCGUGUCUGUACCGGUGCUGCAACGGGAGGGUCGGGCGGCGACGCUCUCACUGCCGGGCCAGAAGGAGGCCUCCCGGCUCCCUCACGCUAGAAGGGAGCUGGUUACCAGAGGUUUUCAGAGACGCCAAAGUUUUGCCAGGUCAGCCCGGUGCCUGCGUGGCCCACUGCGGGACCUUUGCGCCCAGCCACCGCGCCACCCUACCCCUGUCCCGCCCCUGCCCCAGCCCGGCUGGCCAGGAAGGGACCUACUGGGAGAUACCUGCUCGGAACCCCAGGCUAAGGACGUACCUCCCUUGCUUGAAAGUGGGGGAAGGGGGUGCCUCUCUCCAUUACCGUGGUUAGGAAAGCAGGGUACUCAGGAUCCCGCCUCUCCCGUGCUCCCCACUUUCCCUGCCUUAAUCUUAUCAGCAGCUCCCUGAACUCCCCACUCUGGCCCCUUAUCUUGAGCUGCUUUACCUCUCUUCUCUGUCGUCAACCCCACUCUAAUGGCCUUCCCUGGUCGGGCUACCGGCUGCAUGUCUGACCCGUUCGGAGACUGUGAGCUCCCGAGGGCAGGAACCAGGUCUGCCUUCUUCCUGCUGCUGUCCUAGAGGUCCUGGGAGGUGCUCAAUCCUUGAAGGUGUGAAUGGAUGAAUGAAUGAGCACCCCGCCUCUCUCUCAUUUCUGGUCUAGGAAUCAGGAGUGUAGGUUCCUGUCUGGCUUCAGCACUGACUCUGGGAGACCUUGACCCAGUUCCAUUCCCUGGCAGGGUCUUCUUUCCUGUGAAAUGGAGCCAAUCGCUCCGCUGGCUGGACAAGUGCAGAGGAGGCCUCUUCCUGUAGCCAAGGAACUUGCCCCGGGCCUUCGGGGCCUUGGGCCCUCUUGGGCUCCAUAUCAGCUGACUGGGCCUGGCUGCCAGGAAGGGUGCUGGCUGCAGCCCCACCAGGAGCAGUAGCAGAGUGGACACACAGCCCAUAGUGGCUGAGCCGCCUCUGCAGUCCUGCUGGGGCCUUUGCUUGGGAGACACAAAGGCCCCUUGUCUAGCCUCCUGCGCCUAUUGUCUAAGCUGGGCCACGCACCUUCCAGGGACCUAAGUAUCCUCAUAGCCCGAGUUAUAGGGCCUAGGCCUUCAGGUUCCAGUGUGGGGAAGACCCUUUGGGCACUGGAACUCCAGCCAACCCUCUCUUUCUCUCCCCUCUUCCAAAACUUCAAACCUUAUACUGUCACUGCCAUUUAGCCCAGGAGAAACAAGUUUCUUUGACGCCAAGUUGAGGACCCAGGCUCGACCUUAGCCUUCAGCGGGCAAAUCUGGUUGGUGGCCUGCCCAGGGCUCUGCCCCUGCUCUGGCCCAAUUCCCUUACUUUACAGCUGAGGAAACUGCAUUCCUGAGACAUACAGCGUUUCAGCUACCACACAGGUGACUUAGUGAGGCUUGAGGAGCAGAGGAAGGGGCCUAGUCCUUGAACCCCAUAGCCUUGGGUUUAGAUUCCAGUCUUACCUCACCUGUCCUAUGACUCCUCUCUGAGCCUGAGUUUCCUCUUUUGCAAAAGGGAGUAAUACUAAUCUCUCACUUGCUGGCCUGUCUUAAAUUUUUUGAGAAAGGGCCUCACUCUGUCACCCAGGCCGUAGUGCAGUGGCAUGAUCACAGCACACUACAGUCUCUAUGUCCCAGGGCCAAGGGAUCCUCCCAUCUCAGCCUCCCAAGUAGCUGGGAAUACAGGCACAUGCCACCAUGCCGGGCUAAUUUGUAAAUUUUUUGUAGAGAUGGGAUCUCCCUGUGUUGACCAGGCUGGUCUCAAACUGCUGAGUCCAAGCAGUCCUCCUGCCUCGGCCUCCCAAAGUGCUGGGAUUCCAGGCAUGAGCCCCUGCACCCUAUCCUUAAAUUCUUUUUUCAUGGUUUUAUUCAUCAUCCCAAGCUGUCUGGGCUCAAGGCGUUAGUAUCCCAUGCAAUGAGGGCCUAGAAGUUUCGUCUCCUGACAUCCUCCCCAGGCAGUCCCAUCGCUGGGUUUCAGAGGCCAUCAAGCCCAGCAGGCUUCAAAUCCCCCAACAGAGUCCCCCUUACCUGGGGCUGCCUGGGGAACUCCCAUCCCACUUCAACUUGAGCACCUUUGCCUUUGUAUUUUUAUUUAUUUACAUUUCCUGGUAAGAAUUUGUUGCAAGCACAUGAAAGAUUUUGUGGCUGAAGUAAUGUAAAACCAUUGAUCAAACCGGAAAUUGAGACACAGCCAGCGUCACACAACAGGCCAUCUGAAAGGCUGGAAUAGCAUCGAGGGAGUCUCCCUGGAACCAAGCAGCCAAGGCAGGCUAAUGGUGAAGGCCCAGGCACAGUAAUGGUCCCCUGGAGGUGGGUAAUGGAACCAUGGGGGCGGGAGGAGGGUUCCAUUAGCAGUAGCAGAUCAGGAGGGGAAGGGCAAAGUUCCAGCCUCAGCUUCUCCCAUGUAUUAGGAGGCUUCCUGUCUCUCCAGCCCUGAGGAGGUAUUUGGCUCAUUCAGGCCUUUUCAUCCUCCUUCUCUCAACUUCUCUCAUUGCCCCUGGGAAAACUUGCUCUGAAAAUGCAUGCUGGGGAUGAAGCCUCUGCCCUGGCCCAGGCUCCAAUCCCCCCUUCCCAGGGUACAGUGGUGUCUCUGUUGCCCCUUGAUGCCAUACCCUGCCUUACACUCUCUGGUGGCUCCACCAUCCUCUGGAUAAAGCCUAGCUCUCUAGCCUGCCACUCCAGCCUCCCUGCCUCUCUGCCUCACCUCUCACCUCUGACCAGCCUCCUGUUGCCUCUUGCUGCUCCCUCUGCCCACAGUGCCCCCUGCUUCUGGCUCCCCACCAUGGGUCCUCGAAGACCCAGGCCAGGUGCCCCACCACUUACCAUGCUGUUAUUGCUAUCACUGCCUGUCUCCCCCUCUAACAGGGAUCUCUCUGAGAGCAGAGCCAGGUUCCAUUCUGUUCACAAUUAAAUGGCCAACACCUAGCACUGUCCCUGAAUAAUUUUUCUUUUUUUUUCUUUGAGAUGGAGUCCUGCUCUGUCAUCCAUGCUGGAGUGCAGUGGCGUGAUCUCAGCUCACUGCAACCUCCGCCUCCUGGGUUCAAGUGAUUCUCCUGCCUCAGCCUCCCAAGUAGCUGGGAUUACAAGUGUGCACCAUCACACCCUGCUGAUUUUUGUAUUUUUAGUAGAGACAGGGUUUCACCAUGUUGGCCAGGCUGUUCUUGAACUCCUGGCCUAAAGCGAUCCACCCGCCUUGGCCUCCCAAAGUCCUGGGAUUACAGGCGUGAGCCACCGUACCUGACCCCUGUCCCUGAACAUUUGUCACAAUAUAUUAUGAGUGAAUGAGUAAGAACUCUAUUUUAGUGGUCACCUUCUUUGUGCUAGUCAUUAAGUUUAAGGUAUCUCGCUUAAUAUUCUCCAGAACCCUGUGAGAUAGGCAUUAUUUUAUUCUCAUGUGACAUGUAGAGAAACAGGUUCAGAAAGGGGAAGCGAAAGUCCAAAGCAGUGAAUCUGCGGUGGGUCUCCUGGCCCCAGAAUUGCAGCCUGAUGGGAAGGAAGGCCCUGCUGAGUUCCCAGAGUUAUGGCUGGGUCAUGGCAUUGGGACCCACACUGGCAGCUCCAGUUACACAGGGCUGGGCUGGCUCUAGCAGCCUUGUCUUACUUGCUCCCUGAACUGCUGCAUUGACCUGCACCAUCCUCCCUUCCCUUGCCAGCCGAGAACUGUGCUCCUCAGGUUUCCUGGGCAGGGUCCAGGGCUCUGAUGCCAAACGCAGCCUGGAAACUCUAGCUCUCAGCAUGCCAGGAUGCGGGCACCCAAGUGAGGCCGCCUGGGAUGCAGGAAGCUUAGUCCAGGCCUGGGCAUGCCUCUGUUCCAUCUCCCCUCAAGCAGGACCAGCUACUUAAUCUGCGGGACCCAGAGCAGAAUGAAAAUGUGGGCCCCUCAUUCAAAAAUUUAAAAUUUCCAACAAAAGAAUGAAAAAAUAAGAAAAAAUUAAGAAUUUCAAGAUGGUGAUAGCAGAGUAUUUAACACUUCAAAUCAUGACCCUUACUGUCCAGGUCACAUGCCCACAAAGUCAGCCCUGUCGUCAGGCCUUGGUUUCCUUGUCUGUCAAGUGGGAGAAUGGUAGCCACUGGCCAAAAGGGUGAGGGUGAGAAUGAGGUGGGAGCUGGUGGUAAGAGGUCCAGUGAACAGCAUGAGGAUGAGAUUCACCUCUUGAUAUUUUAUUUGCCUAGUUGUACUAUAUACGUAAGUAACACACAUAUAUAAUAUUGAAAAAUAAUUUUCUCUUUAUUUCUUCUUCCUCCCUUCCUUCCUUCCUUUCUUUCAUUCUUUCGUUUCCUUCCUUCCUUCCUUUUUUUCUUUUCUUUUGUUUUCUUCUCUCUUUCUUUCUUUCUGCCUGCCUGCCUUCCUUCCUUCUUUCUUUUCUUCCUUUCUUCCUUUCUUUCUUUUUCUUCCUUCCUUCCUUCCUUCCUUCCUUUCUUUCUUUCUUUUUCUUUCUUUCUUUCUUUUUCUUUCUUUCUCUCCUCUUUUUUGAGACAGGGUCUUGCUCUGUUGCCCAGCCCAGCUCAUUGCAACCUCGGCUUCCCAGGCUCAGGUGAUCCUCCCAGCUCAGCCUCCCAGCUGGGACUACAGGCUGGUGCCACCACACUCAGCUGAUUUUUUAUAUUUUUAGUAGAGAUGGGGUUUCACCAUAUUGCCCAGGCUGGUCUUGAACUCCUAGGCUUAAGCAAUCUGCUUGCCUCAGCCUCCUAAAGUGCUGGGAUUAUAGGCAUGAGUCACUGCGUCCAGCCUCAGUAUUUCUUUUUCACUUAUAUAACCCAGCAGGCUGAAAAUGAUGUGUCUCCCACUACUUUUUUGUUUAUAUCAACCUCUCCUUCUAUUGCUAUUUCAUCUAUUUUGAUCCUCUGUUAUUCAAUAUAUAAAAGUACAUCCUCACUAUGGCUUACAUAUUUUUAUAGAUAAAAGUGUCCCCUUUUUGUCCCAUCUAAUGCUUUUAGCCAUAUUUUAAAAUAUUUCUUACAUCACUACUACCAUCCCCUGCUUUAUUUCAUUUGCAUUUAGCCAGCAUAGCUUUGUCUGUGCUUCCAAAUGUAAACUUGUUGUGUCAUUUAACUUUUCUAUUUAAAAUUUGGAAUGAGUAAUAUAUGGUUCAAAAAUGUUAUAGUAUAGGAAAAAAAGAUAUUCAGAGAAAUGUCUCCCUCCAUCCCCCAUCAUUCAGUUGCCUGAUUUCCACUGCUCCCUUCACUCUUAACCUGGAAAGUGUUUUUGUUAGUUUAUUGCGUAUCCUUGAGUUCCUUUGUGUGAAUACAAACAUUUCCACUUAUUUUCCUUUUUAAUUUUUAUUUAUUUUUAAUUUUUUUUAACAUGGAGUCUCGCUCUCUCACCCAGGCUGGAGUGCAGUGGCGUGAUCUUGGCUCCCUGCAGCCUCCACCCUCCAGGUUCAAGCGAUUCUUGUGCCUCAGCCUCUCAAGUAGCUGGGACUACAGGCUUGCACCACCAUGCCUGGCUAAUUUUUUGUAUAUAUUUUUUUCAGUAGAGACAGGGUUUCACCAUGUUGGCCAGGCUGGUUUCAAACUCCUGACCUCAAGUGAUCCAUCUGCCUCAGCUUCCCUCAUUUUCCUUUUUGAAAAAACACAAAAGAGUAUCAUAAAGAUACACACUGACCCUUGCAUGUUAUCACUUAACAGUGUAUCUUGGAGAUCUUUCCAAGUCAGUACAUUGGAAGCUUCUUCAUUCUUUAUAAGGGCCGCAUAGUAUCCCAUUGUAUAGUCAUACCAUAAUGUAUUUAACCAGUCCUCUGUUGGUGGACAUUUGGGUUGUUGCCAAUUUUUUGCUAGUACAAACAAUGCUGCAAUGAAUAGCCUUGUACAUAUUUUUUUGCUUGGGUGUAAAUAUAUGUAGGAAAAUUUCACAGAAACUUAUUACUCGAUCAAAAGGAUUGUGCAUUUGAAGAUGUGAUAACUGUUGUCAAAUUGUCAGCCACCGAGAUUGUAUUCAUUUACCCUUCCACCAGCAGUGUAUGGGAGUGCCUGUAUCUCCAUAGCCUCAUCAACACUGUGAUAUCAAACUUUUGGAUUUUUGCCAGUCUGAUAGGUGAAAAGUCAUGUCUCAGUGUAGUUUUAAUUUGUCAGGUUUUUUUUUUUGUUUUGAGUGCAUAUCUUCAUAACAAAAGUAUAAUUUAUGAUCCAUUUCCAUUUCCUUUUCCAUUACAGUCAUGAGUUGCUUAAAGACUGGGAUGCUUUCUAAGAAACGUGUCACUUUGCGAUUUCAUCAUUGUGUGAACGUGAACACAAACCCAGAUGGUAUAGCCUACUACACACCUAGGCUAUAUGGUAUAGCCUAUUGCUCCUAGGCCACAAACUUGUACCUGUACUGAAUACUAGAGGCAAUUGUAAUACAAUGGCGGAAAUAAAGCCAGGCUAAGGACUGCCCCCUGAUCCUUUCAACCUUAUGCAGUAAAGCUCAAUAAUUGUGGAAGUCUCAGUUCCACCAUUGGACAGCCAGUGUAGACACAGAAAAAGAAGCUGACCGGGGUCGAUUAGGGGAAUUUUCAUCAUCAUAUCAUGGCACUUGAACAGCACUCUGUGUAUGUAAAUUCAUGUAUUAUGUGUGUGCAUUUGUGUAUAUAUAUAUACACUAAAUACAUAUGUGCUAAAUUUAUGCACACACAUUAAUUUAGUUCUCACAACAUUUCUGUAAACAGUACUGUAAACAGUACAACAUUCCUGUAAAUAGUACUUUUACUGUUUCCAUUUUACAGAUGACCAAGGUGAGGCACAGAGAGGUUAUAUAACUUGUCCAAGCUCACACAGCUAAAAUCUGGUGGAACCAUAACUACCUACAUGAUCUGAUCCCAGAAUCCAUUCCCUCAAUCAUUCUGACCGGCUUGGAAGAUAAUUUCUGUGUUGUUAAGCCAUGACCAAACAUCCAUCUGGUCACUGCUGCCCCUGAGUCUCUGAGACUGGUGUAGGCAGUGGGGAUUAGUCUCUCUUAUCUACUUUGGAACCUUCGGUUCUUCAUUCAUUAAUUCAUUUAAUCCUCUGAUUCAUUCAAUAAAUAUGUAUUGAGUGCCUACUAUGUGUCAAGUCCUGUGCCGGGUGCCAGAGAUACCAAGAUAAAUUAGAUAUGGUCUUUGUCCUUAAAGGCCUUGAAAGGUGGGGGAUAAGACAUGGUCAGUUAACGGCACAGAUGACACAUGCUGUUCUGUUCCAAAGGGAGUAGCAGGUGGUGUGUUGUCUAAGAAUGUGUUUCUCAAUCUGGCCCCAUCUACCAUCUGGUUAGCGCAAUUUCUCCCUUGCACUUUACCCUGUGAUCUUCUCUUAUCUUUAGUUUCUAAAGCAUCACUGCAAGCUUUUGGAUUUCUGCAUAUCUUCUUGAGCAUUUUCACAGGAUAUGGAGAUUAGUCUCAUCAGUCAUAUCUGCUGUCCUUUUUUUAUCAUCCCAGGAAAGUGUCCUUGUUCCUGUAAGUAAUGGGAAGCCAGGGAAGGAUUCAGAGUAGGAUAGAUGGGCACUUUAGAAUGACCACUCCAGCUAUAAUGUGGAAAAUAGACUGAAUGGUGGAGGUAAGAUAAGCAGCCCAGUCAGAAAACUGCUCCAGUGCCCAGGUGGAAUUAUCUGAGCAAAGACUGCGGCUGGGGGAGACAGGAGGGUAUGGAUUCAAUGAGUAUCAAGCAAAUGGAAUCAAAGGGACUAAGUAAUUCAAUCAACAGUGUUUAAUUAGCACCUGUUAAGUGCCAGGCACUGUGCCAGGUGCCCAGAAUACAGCAGGGAACAAGAUAGACACAGCCUCUGCCUUCAUUGCAUCUAGAUGGGGAAAUGGACAAUUGGAGCCUUUACAAUAAAAGAUGAUAAACAAUGCAACAGAGGACAUCAGGGCACUGCAGGAAAACAGAAGGGGGCACACGAGGGGGCGUGAGGGAAGAGUCCGGGCUGAUGCCUGGAUUUCUGCCUUGGCUGCAGGAGUAUAUGAUGGGGCCAUCGUCUGAGCCAGAGAAUCCAGGAGGGCAGAACCCUAUGGACGUCUCUCUGGGUCCCCCCAAGCCCAGGCCAGGGCAGGAGCAGGGGAGGUGGUGAGCAGAGACUGUUGAAUGAAUGGAUAAAUGAAUGUGGGCAUGCGAAUACUCCCCAGCCCUCAGCCCGGCCCUGAAAGAGGAAGAUGGGGAGUGGUCCUGAAAGAAACUAGAAGUUUCAGGAAGCCCAGUGGUUACUCAACAACCACAAACUGUCAGCCUCUUCCCAGUUACCCAACGGGCCAUAUGAGGCAGCCGUGACGCUCCUGAUGUCCAGCAGGACAAGCCGGGCUGCCCAUGACUCUGUAUCUGGGGCCUGGAUAGCGGGCAGACUCAGCAUACCCCUAGCUGUUCUGAGGCCACCAGUGUGGGCCCCAAAGGCUAUUGGAGACCUUCCUGGAACUGGCAGGGAAGGAAGAAUUAGCCCUCCAAAUUCCCUGGGCAUGUGUUCCUAGAGUUGGGACCCUUCCUCUGGCUCCUGCAUUCUUGAAGUGUCCCCCUGCCUCAGCACCAAGCCUCCUGGGCUGGGCCUGGGUCUGUUUGCCUCUAUCCAAAAGCAGAAAUUGAUAAUUAUCUUCUGUGUGCCCAGUGCCCAGCUUGGACAACCCCUUCCCCCCAGCACAUGAUAUAAAAUUUCUCUUCUUUCUCAUUUUACUUUUUUUGUUUGUUUGUUUUGAGACAGGAUCUCUCUCUGUCAUCCAAGCUGGAGUACAGUGGUGUGAUAAUGCCUCACUGAAGCCUUAACCUCCUGGCCUCAAGUGAUCCUCCCACCCCAGCCUCCCAUGUAGCUGGGACUACAGGUGUGCCCCACCAUGCCCAGCUAAUUUUUCUAUUUAUUUUUUUGUAGAGAUGGGUUUUUGCCAUCUUGCCAGGCUAGUCUCAGAUUCCUGGGUUCAAGCAAUCUGCCCCCCCUCAGCAUCCCUAAGUCCUGAAAUUACAGGCAUGAGCCUCUGUGCCCUGCCAGGAAAUGUUUCUUUAGUUCAGAGAGAGGUGUACCCUAAGCCCAGGGGCCAGGCUCCCCCACCCUCAGGAGAAGGAAGGUUCAUCGGGAGCCACAUAAACACCAUGUCGUUGGCAUGUGGCCAGGAUACCCAUGGUUACACCAUGAGUGGGUGGGCCUAGGCUCUGACAGCCUCUGACCCAGGGUGGGGAAGGCACCAACCCACUGCCCCGCCUCUACCCCUGUCCGCUGUCCAUAUCUGAGUGUCCUGAAAUGGGAGAAUCUUUGAAUCUAAAGGAUAGAAAGGCCCUCUGUGGUCUUGUUGUCCACCUGCCCUUUUUUUUCUGUCUUUCUGGUCCAUUCAUUCUCCUUAAUAAUUAUUUACCACCCCUCAAAAAAUUGUCUGCAUUCCUAUCUUCUCCCUCCCCUAUGAAAAGGAUAUAUGAGCUUCUGUACCCCAUCGGGGGCUUGGAAUCGCCACUCGAUAGUUCUCCCUCAUGCACAUUAAUGAAUGUGUCUGCCUUUUCUCCUAUUCAUCUGCCUUUGGUCAGUUGAUGUUUCAGCAAAUAUUUAGAGGGCAAAGGGGAAGUUUUCCCUUGGCCCCUAAAGUCGCUGGCCAGGUGUUUGCCAUCAGCAUGGGAUUACAUGGAACUGGCAGGGAAAGACUUCUGUGGCUUCUUUGGCUCCUGUCGCUGCUAGUAGGUUGCAAAAGGGCCUAAUGGCCCCUGGUAUAAAUGCAGGUGCAUUUGCGUGUGUGUGUGUGUAUGUGUGUGUAUGUUUAGCUUGUGUUUAUUUUAUCCAUAGAUGUUUAUAUUAGUAUAUAUUACUUUAUAUAGUUAUAUAUAUACAUAUAUAAUAGCGAAAUGUAUAAGUAUACAUAAAUGGAUAUUUUAUGUGUAUGUGUGUGUGUAUACAUAUAUACAUUUCUUUAUUUAUGUUUUAUUAUUAUUUUUCUUGAGAUGGGAGUCUUGCUCUGUCACCCAGACUGGAGUGCAGUGGCACGAUCUCAGCUCACUGCAACCUCCACCUCCCAGGUUCAAGUGAUUUUCCUGCCUCAGCCUCCUGAGUAGCUGGGAUUAUAGGCACGCACCACCACGCCUGGCUAAUUUUUGUAUUUUUAGUAGAGACGGGUUUCACCAUGUUGGUCAGGCUGGUCUCGAACUCCUAACCUCAUGAUUCGCCCUCCUUGGCCUCCCAAAGUGCUGGGAUCACAGGCGUGAGUCACUGCGCCUGGUCACAUACGUACAUUUCUUUUUCUUCUCACAUAUAUGGGGAAAUGCCACCAGAUUGGCAGACGGUGCUACAAAUUUAUAUGUAUAAAUAUCUAGAUUUUAAUUUUUAUUUAUUUAUCUAUUGAUGCAUAUAAUUAUAUAUAUAACAUAUUUCUUAUAUACUUAAAAAUAGAAAUCUUUUAUUUGUGAGUGUAUAUAUAUUUCUAGUUUUGCCUUUCCUUGUGUCUGUACCCAUAAAACACUCAAGUGACAGGCAGCGCCACACCGUUUCUUGAGAGCAGGUUCCGAAACCCUGAGUCUCCACUGACCCUUGUUCCUCUGGUCUCAUGUGAGGACACAGCUGUACAUUGGACUCUAGAUGUCAGAGCCAUUUGUUCCCAUGGUGUCUCCAUGAGGUUGAGCCCCCACUCUAGGAGAAAACAGCUGUUUCGGGGUGAAUGGGGGCAGCAAAACCCAGAUGGACCUGGUAGUCUCAGGCGGUCUCACAUUCAAGUCCUAUCUGAUUGCAACUUCUCCGAGCUUCUAAGAAGAGAAGGGGCUCUUCUCGGCUUGUGCAGCCAUACACUUGUCAGCCUAGGCUGUGAUCUAAAGGCUGGCUCAAAAAAUCACUUUGCUCCUCCCUUCUGAAGAAUCCAAACUGACCUGUUCAGGCCCUGAUUAUAAUGCCCUCAGCAAUGGGAACUCACCUUAACCUGGGACCUGAGACCAGCCUUCUUCCCGAGACCUGAGACCUGAGACCAGUCACUUCCCCAAGGGUCUCCUCCCUAUCUCCAAGGCCACAGAGCCUUAUCUUCCCCCCACAGCCCAAAACAGUCCAGGAGAGCCAGGGGAAGGGGUGGGGAUGAGGCCCCUGCCAUCCCUGAGAGAUGAACAAGUGAGCAGUAGCUCCUUUCUCCAUGGCCACAGUUAAAGUGUCAUCACUUGCAAUCACUAAACCAUCAGUGGGGCCACUGAAAGGCAAGAGACACUGAAAGGCAAAAGACAGGCCAUUCUGCCAAGCAGGAAGCUGAAGACUGUUUCAAGGCAGUAUGCCAUGGUGGUUAAGAGCACCUCUGCUAGAUACUAGCUGCGUGACCCUUAAUCCUUCUGAAGUGGAUUUUCUUGCUGGUAAAAUGGGAUAAUGACGCCUGCCUGGUAGGUUAGUGUGUGGAUUAAAUGACUGUGUGUAAAGAAAGGGUCAGCCCAAUGCAUACUAGGGAGGUGUUCAGGGAAUCCAUGCUUUCCCAUGGCAGUGUCGGACGCUGUUGCCACACAGCCACACACACCACAUUGGCUGUGCCCAUCUUGUGGGCUCCCCACCCUUCAGGUCUUUUCCACCUGAGAGUGGGCUAGGGCUCUCCUUCCUGCCCUAGAAUCACUUAUUUGUCUGACU
rnacentral:lncRNA from 1 species